AGCGAACGCUGGCGGCGUGCCUAACACAUGCAAGUCGAACGUGAAAGGGAGCAAUCCUGAGUAAAGUGGCGUACGGGUGAGUAACACGUAGGUAAUCUACCCCAGAAUCUGGAAUAACCUGCCGAAAGGCGGGCUAAUACUGGAUAGAGCGAAGAAGCUCGUAAUAGAGUUUUUCGGGAAAGGGAGCCUGUAAGGGCCCUCGUUUUGGGAUGAGCCUGCGUCUCAUUAGCUAGUUGGUGGGGUAAAAGCUCACCAAGGCGAUGAUGAGUAGCUGGUCUGAGAGGAUGAUCAGCCACACUGGAACUGAAACACGGUCCAGACUCCUACGGGAGGCAGCAGUGGGGAAACUUGCGCAAUGGACGAAAGUCUGACGCAGCCACGCCGCGUGAGUGAAGAAGGCCUUCGGGUUGUAAAGCUCUGUCGGGCGGGACGAAAAUUUAUUGGGUGAAUAGCCCAGUGAACUGACGGUACCGCCAAAGGAAGCACCGGCUAACUCCGUGCCAGCAGCCGCGGUAAAAC
rnacentral:rRNA from 1 species